AGAGAGAGAGAGAGAGAGAGAGAAUGCUAACAAGGUGUACCUCCUUCUUUUUCUGAACAUAGAUUACGGCAGAUACUGCUCCUACUUCAGUUUUCAUGCUUUAAAAGCUCUUUUAGAUGUGAAGAGGCAAAAGUUUGGAUUCUUACUUUAAUGCUUCAUAUUUAAAAUGCACGAUGCAUCUAAACAAUAAGCAGAAUUGCUGAAUUUUCAGGAGGGGAGCCCUCCGUUUUUACACUGGAUUAUGUCCUCUGUGACUAACAGUAUCAGAUGGGAUGUCUGGAUGAAUGAAUGUUCACUGCUUGCUUUUAUCCCAUGAUCUAAAAGGAACCUGAGGAAGAUAAGGCAAAUGGAUGGCCUUCAGUUUACAUAAUAAAGCAAUUUUCAUUAUGAUGUAGGAUUAAGACAGAACUGUUCAGCUUUCUUUGUAAUUGUGAAUAAAAACAAUUUCAGGAUCAGGAAGGUCACAUCCAAAACAUACAUUUAAGUCACCACUGUACCACUUUUAAUGCCAUAGUUUGAUAAGGGUGCAGACCUCACAGAACUAUUCCCAGCACACUUAACAAACUGCAGUUCCCAGAAUUCUCCAUAACUGUUAAAGUGGUAUAACAGUGCUUAAAAUAUAUGGCAUGGGUGUGUCUGAAAUAUCUCUAAAAUCAUUUCGCCUCUUUGCCUUACCUGAACUUCUUCCACAGCCUCCGUCCUCUUAGGUUGCAUGGGAACAUGGUGAUCUUUUUAAAAUGGCACUGUGGGAGCUUCAUAACAUAAACACUUUGGGACACAGCCUCAGUAAAAUAUGUAUGCAAUUGUUGAUUCAUCUUUUUUUAAUGCCUAGUUUAGUAAAAGCUUCCUUGCCCUGUUUGCUUGAAAUAUUCAUUAGGGAACAUUUUUGUAAACUCUUGGUAUUCACACAACAAAAUACAUCUCCAGAACAUUCCCUGAGGUCUUAACCUUAACUGAAAAAUCAUUAGCUGAACCACUAGUAAGGACUCCUAUAGAAAGCAAAGAUCUUCCUCUCGUUUCCAUUUUGUUUUGUGUGAAUAUUUGUACCCUGUUUUUUCCUUCCAAAAAGGGAGCCAGCAAUAGGUACAUUCCUAAGUUGCCUUCAAGUUUGUGUAAAAUGUGGUUGAUUAAUUAAUAAGCCUUUGGCUGUGUCAACCACAGCAAACUAUGGCAAGUUCUUAAAGAAAUGGGAGUGCCUGAUCACCUCAUCUGUCUCCUGAAAAAUCUCUAUGUGGGACAAGAAGCUACAGUUAGAACUGGAUAUGGAACAACUGAUUGGUUCAAAAUUGGGAAAGGAGUACAACAAGACUGUAUAUUGUCUCCCUGUUUAUUUAACUUAUAUGCAGAAUUCAUCAUGCAAAAGGCUGGACUAGAUGAAUCCCAAACCGGAAUUAAGAUUGCCGUAAGAAAUAUCAACAACCUCAGAUAUGCAGAUGACACAACCUUGAUGGCAGAAAGUGAGGAGGAAUUAAAGAACCUUUUAAUGAGGGUGAAAGAGGAGAGCGCAAAAUAUGGUCUGAAGCUCAUCAUCAAAAAAACCGAAGAUCAUGGCCACUGGGCCCAUCACCUUCUGGCCAACAGAAGGGGGAAAAAUGGAGGCAGUGAGAGAUUUUACUUUCUUGGGCUCCAUGAUCACUGCAGAUGGUGACAGCAGUCAUGAAAUUAAAAUACGCCUGCUUCUUGGGAGAAAAGCAUUGACAAACCUAGACAGCAUCUUGAAAAGCAGAUACAUCACCUUGCCAACAAAGGUCCGCAUAGUUAAAGCUAUGGUUUUCCCAGUAGUGAUGUAUGGAAGUGAGAGCUGGACCAUAAAGAAGGCUGGUCACCAAAGAGUUGAUGCUUUUGAAUUAUGGUGCUGGAAGAGACUCUUGAGAGUCCCAUGGACUGCAAGAAGAUCAAACCUCUCCAUUCUUAAGGAAAUCAGCCCUGAGUGCUCACUGGAAGGACAAAUCAUGAAGCUGAGGGCACAAGGAGAAGGGGACGACAGAGGAUGAGAUGGUUGGACAGUGUUCUUGCAGCCACCAGCAUGAGUUUGACCAAACUGUGGGAGGCAGUGGAAGACAGGAGUACCUGGCGUGCUCUGGUCCAUGGGGUCACAAAGAGUCGGACACGACUAAACAACAACAACAUAUGCAGGUAUUUCCUACGUACAUUGGGCCUUCUUGGAAAGUUUAUGAUAAAGACACAUGGGAAGCAGUGGGCAUGAUCCUGAGCCACCCAUGCUCAUAUGCAUUCAGUCAGUGUACACAUGUUGUCUGAACAGGACUCCAAUCUUCUUGUUGGAAUAUUCAAUAUUCCUCCUGUAUAAAGCUAACUAUAAAUACCUUUUGCUUCAACUGUUUUUACUGAAAAUUAGCAGUAAAUUACAGGAGCCCACACCCUUCUACUGAAUAGUACAUUAGUCCAUAAAUAGCACUGCUCACUUUGAGGGGGCCACUUGUGAAAUUUAGUUCUAUUCAAGUUAAUAGCAUUAGUUCAUGUGGUUUUUUAUUUUAAAAAAUUGAAUAAAUUCUUAGUUCUGUGCUCAUAGCGUUGCACGUAUCUGAUAAACUAAUGUGCUUGACUUCAGCAGAAGAGGUCAAGGGUUUCAAUGUUUUUCAUUUUCACACCAAAUUGCUCUGCCCGUUCACCCUGGAAUAAACGAUAACGUGAGAUACAGGAUGCAGUGAGGGGGAAGCAUCAGUGCAAAGAAGAGAAAAGCACAAAAGGGAAGAGGGAGAGCAGGAGAGAGGUGGGGGAGGCACUCGGAGUCAGAGCUAUUUUUGGCAGCAAUUCCCGUGGUACGCUCCAUUUUUCUGGAAAUAGGUGCUUCUGUUAUGCAUUUUCACACAACCUAGGGAGAACUGCCCAUGUAACAAACGGUAGGCUUUGAUGUUGUAAGGAGAAACUGCAGAAGACCCAUGUAUUGAGUUGCCAAGGGGAAAGAGUGUGGCUUAUUAAUUUAUUUUAUUUAUUUAAAAACGGCCACCUAACAGACUAUGGGCUUCUCCAUAACAGCUCCCACAGUACUUUGUGGAUGUUUGGGACAUCCUAGCUACUGUAGCUUCUUACAUAGCAUGCGCUGUGAAUGCACAAUUCAUUCGGACACAACCCAUCUGGAUAUUUUCCUGUGAAAAUGAAAUGAACAGGACGGGGAUGAUUAUAGUUUUGUACCAGUCCCAGGGGGUUUACUCAGGAGAGCUACAGUUGGGCAACCAGUGUUUCUUCUUCUUAAGCGAAAGAAAGGUUUCUGGUUUGUAAAAGAGCCGCUGUGCCUAUUCCAUUGUUUUCAGAAAGGGAAAUUCAUGAGAAAAACCAAGUUGUAGCUACGAAAGGAUUCAAGCGUGUUAGAAUUAAGACAGUGAAGCAGGGACAGAUGUUGGGUAUCUACAGCCAAAGUAUUUUGGCAAUCUCGUAACUAUUCCUGGAAAACAAAGUUAGGACAGAUACCAUCCCAACUGAUGUACAAAAGUUCUCCCUACUGACUAAUCCUUGAGGCCUCCUCUUAACUUUCUAAAUUUGCCAUCCCCAAAGAACAGUAGAUAGAAUUAUAGACAAAACACAACAUUUGGGAGCCAAUCCCUGUUGAAGCGACUCUGCAUUUAUUUGAACUUGUUUCAGUCUUCUAGGAAAUAUUUGCAAACAAAUUAUGGAGUCCUCAGGGACAGUAUUAGGAAGUGAUACAGUGUGGUUUACUUAUGGAAGAAAUCAUCCUGGCUCUCUUAGUUAAGCCCCUCAAUACACAAAACAGUCUGUUUCAUUUCAGUGAAACUGUGUUCUUUUUUUCCUACUGGGGAUACAAAUAAUAAAUAACAGCCUUAUUUAAAGAUUGUUGAAAUGGGCUCCCUUUCCCUGUUUAGGAGCCUCAGAGCCACAUCAGUCAUCCUUGGAAAGCUGAAUAUGUUAUUACAAGGCACAAAGAUUGCAAGAAAGCCAUUUUACUUUUUAAUAGUAUAAUCGUUGGGAUAACACACAUGGCUGAAGUAGAUUAUGUCGAACAACCUGCAAUUCAGAUAAAACAGAUGGAAUCGUGGUUUCACAAUUUUGCUUAAGAAGGAGUUUAUUGGUCUGUGUU
rnacentral:lncRNA from 1 species